AAACUUUCAACAACGGAUCUCUUGGUUCUGGCAUCGAUGAAGAACGCAGCGAAAUGCGAUAAGUAGUGUGAAUUGCAGAAUUCAGUGAAUCAUCGAAUCUUUGAACGCAUUGCGCCCUGG
rnacentral:rRNA from 1 species